UAAUGUAAAGUCAAAAAUUUUUGCUUCUGAAUCCAAACAGCAAGGCUCUACUGUUUUGACUAAAGUGUUUCUUGUGUGUUGAAAUUUUCUUUCGAUUGUUAACUGAAAUGAGAAUUUGUAAUGUUGCUAAGUGUGGACGUAAGAUCAGUGAUGGUGUCAAAUUGUAUUCUUUGCCAGAAAACAGUGUUCGUCGUCAGCUUUGGCUUGACAAGAUUAAGAUUAAACGUAGAAAAGCUAAUCGUCAUACCAAAAUCAAUAAAAUCUGGAUAUGCUCAAAGCAUUUCUAUUGAGGGAAACCUGCAAAAGAUAUCUACCCGAGGCAUCCAGAUUUUGUGCCAUCAUUGUUGUUAGGGGAUGAGCCACUAGAAUUAAUAGACUCACCUCUACUUUCUGAAAUUCAGGAUCAUUCUUUGCCGAUUGAUGAGCUUGAUCAACACAGCAUUCCAAGUAAUUGCGAAGAGAGUUUACACACAACCAUAGAAUGUGAACUUCCCAGCAAUGAGAACCCAUCGGAGACUACAUUACAUGUAGAUUCAUUAUGCCAUGAAAAUACUUCACAGAGUGCAUUACUACAAGGAAACGAGAUUGACUGUAGGCCUAUACCAAUUCCUGCUGUGGAGUGCUUAACAACAUCACAAGUUAGCAAUUCAACAACUAACCUGGACGAUAAUCUCGAAGGAGACUUAUAGCGUCUACGAUUAAUCGAGCAAGUGUCUCAGUUAACG
rnacentral:lncRNA from 1 species